rnacentral:lncRNA from 1 species
AUCCUGUGUGGACACUUUGGGAGGAUCUUAGACUCGGCUUCAUCAGAGUUGCGAAUCCAGUACCUGAAGGGCCCCAGACCGGGAGCUGGUGCAACGCGAGCCUUGGAUUUGUCACAAGAAGCCAGAAACCGUUCUGCCCAGCUCCUUCUGCCUGGAAGGCCCAGUUCUUCUCCGCCUGGCCAGCAUCCCACUGCAGGGACACGUCGCCUGGCAGCUGAGCAGUCAGAUUACCAGGAGCUCACAUCUGGGUCCAAACCAUUCCCAAGGCCAAGGCCAGAGAGCCUCCCUGGAGCCUGAAUGGGCUUACACAGAGGCGGUACUGUCUGUUAAAUUCACUCAUUCAACAGGUAUUUAUUGAGCAAGCACUAUACCCUAGGCUCCAGGGGUGCAGGGGACUUCAAAGCGGAGUGGGGGAGGGGGAGCUUGUGGGUGGCUCAGUAGGUUAAUCAUGGGACUCUUGAUUUUGGCUCAGGUCAUGAUCUCAGAGUCCUGGGAUUGAGCCUCAUCGGGAUAAGCGGUCAGCAUUGGGUC